rnacentral:rRNA from 1 species
UAACGCGUGGGCAACCUGCCCCAUAGAGGGGGACAACAGCUGGAAACGGCUGCUAAUACCGCAUAACAAGGAGAGAGCGCAUGUUCUUUUCUUCAAAGAUUUAUCGCUAUGGGAUGGACCCGCGUCUGAUUAGCUGGUUGGUGAGGUAACGGCUCACCAAGGCGACGAUCAGUAGCCGGCUUGAGAGAGUGGACGGCCACAUUGGGACUGAGACACGGCCCAGACUCCUACGGGAGGCAGCAG